AUGAAGCAGUGCAUAAGCAUUUAUGAUGGGUGAAGCUGAUGUGUUGCAACGAAUAUCUCAUGCAGGCACUUUGGAUCCAACUCAACUCAUCACACAUUUAUGGUGCCAGAUGCCAAUUUGGAGAAGAAAGGGUCUUGUUCUCAUGAAGCUCACAGAGAAACAGAUAGGUCUCAGUAGGAAUCUUCUCUGCAAGGUUCUAAGACAGUUUACCUUGAAGGAGCCCCUAGCCCCACUGUGACUGCCCACCAUGACAAGUUGUGUUUCCUUCCUACUCCGUGGUGCAGUGCAGAGUACGUCAUUAGCAUUUAGGGGGUGAGUUUUGAGCCUCUCUCUCGCUGGACGGUAAGCUUCCUCAGGAUAGGAGUCACGUCUGUUUGGGCCAUCUCCACAGAAUCCACAUGAGUUCUGGGCAAACAACAGGGAUUCAGUAAAUAUUGGUUGAGUCUCGAAUGGAUGUGGCUUUCACUGUGGGAAUAAAGACAAGUUUGAGCUUUGCUUCUACCCUGCUCUGUCGAUGUAGGGAUGAUGACAUCAGAUGACUUAUGAGUUCCACGCAACCACUGAUGGAUGUCGUUUCUCAUAAGACGCACUAACAUAGAGCCUUAUAGAUUUACACGUGCUGUUGGUGGGGGCCCAUGCCAACAAGUUAAGGUUGUAAGAAGUUUUAAUUUUUUUCUCAAAUGGGAGAAUCUUUACAAAGCUUUUCUUCAUUUGACAGCCUGGUAAGCAGCCUUCAGUGGCUCUCCAUUUUCCACCGGUCUGAUGUAAAUUUCCCCUGCCAAUUUUCUGUCAUUUUCUAAAAUCCGACCUCCUCUAGUUGAACUUAUUUUCCACUACUCCCUAAUACACAGUUCACAGUUUAGACAGGUCCUACUGAGCCCUCACAUGUCAAAUUCACACCUGGCUGUCUUUCACAGAGGUCCCACCACCUUUUAUAGGGGACUUUCCUUAUUCUUUGCCUUCAGUAACUUUUGCCAAAUUCUUUCUCAGCUCAGCUUCCAUCUUCCACACUCCCUGGCUGCUGGAGUCUCGGUGAUCUGUCUCUCCUCUGAAUGCUUGGUGUGUCUCUUGACCCAACUUUCAAUUCUGUUCUGUCCUUCGUGCCCAAGACUCGCCCCAUGGAGAGGACAAAUUGGAUUCAUGACCAGACCUCUGAGAGGCUGCAUCUCCAGGCAGCUGGUGGGAAGCUGUCUGGAAACAAACACAUUUUCCAGCUCGCUCGACCCUCACAUUUCCAGAGCAGAAGAAUACCCUGAAAGUGUUUUUCACGUACGAUUUCAGAAUCCUCACGAAAAGCCUCAAGUGUUUCUCCAGUUAUAG
rnacentral:lncRNA from 1 species